rnacentral:rRNA from 1 species
GAUGAACGCUGGCGGCGUGCCUAAUACAUGCAAGUCGAGCGAACAGACGAGGAGCUUGCUCCUCUGACGUUAGCGGCGGACGGGUGAGUACCACGUGGAUAACCUACCUAUAAGACUGGGAUAACUUCGGGAAACCGGAUCUAAUACCGGAUAAUAUAUUGAACCGCAUGGUUCAAUAGUGAAAGACGGUUUUGCUGUCACUUAUAGAUGGAUCCGCGCCGCAUUAGCUAGUUGGUACGGUAACGGCUUACCAAGGCGACGAUGCGUAGCCGACCUGAGAGGGUGAUCGGCCACACUGGAACUGAGACACGGUCCAGACUCCUACGGGAGGCAGCAGUAGGGAAUCUUCCGCAAUGGGCGAAAGCCUGACGGAGCAACGCCGCGUGAGUGAUGAAGGUCUUCGGAUCGUAAAACUCUGUUAGUAGGGAAGAACAAAUGUGUAAGUAACUAUGCACGUCUUGACGGUACCUAAUCAGAAAGCCACGGCUAACUACGUG